GUGCUCUUUCAGUAGCACAUAUCCUAAAAUUGGAAUGAUACAGAGAAGAUUAGCAUGGCCCCUGUGCAAGGAUGGCACAGAAAUUUGUGAAGUGUUUCAUAUUUUU
rnacentral:snRNA from 1 species